rnacentral:rRNA from 1 species
GACGAACGCUGGCGGCGUGCCUAAUACAUGCAAGUAGAACGCAGUUGCGAACGGGUGAGUAACGCGUAGGUAACUGCCUCAUAGCGGGGGAUAACUAUUGGAAACGAUAGCUAAUACCGCCUACUGUGAGAUGUACCUGCGUUGUAUUAGCCAGUUGGGGAGGUAAAGGCUCACCAAGGCGACGAUACAUAGCCGACCUGAGAGGGUGGUCGGCCACACUGGGAAUGAGACACGGCCCAGAGCCCUAAGGGAGGCAGCAGUAGGGAAUCUUCGGCAAUGGACGGAAGUCUGACCGAGCAACGCCGCGUGAGGGGAGAAGGGUUUCGGGUCGGAAAGCUCUGUUGGUAGAGAAGCGGUAACUAACGAGAAAGGGACGGCUAACUACGUGCCAGCCGCCGCGGUAAUAC